UACGGAGGUGGCAAGCGUUGCUCGGAAUUACUGGGCGUAAAGCGUGCGCAGGCGGUCUCUUAAGACAGGUGUGAAAUCCCCGAGCUUAACUUGGGAACUGCGCUUGUAACUGAGAGGCUAGAGUGUGGCAGAGGGGGGUGGAAUUCCGCGUGUAGCGGUGAAAUGCGUAGAGAUGUGGAGGAACACCGAUGGCGAAGGCAGCCUCCUGGGCCAACACUGACGCUCAUGCACGAAAGCGUGGGGAGCAAACAGG
rnacentral:rRNA from 1 species